UACUAUCCUGCUGCGUUCUUCUCUCAAUAAAAAAACCCUGCUGCGUUCUGAUUUGACGAACCAGCCCUCCCACGGUUCACCCGUCUCCACCGUCCAUUCUUACCCGAUCCAACGGUUCCUGCUCAUUCUAUCCUCUGUCUCUGCUUUCCCUGCUUCUUAUCCUCUCACUGUCACGAACGCCAGCACCAUGCCAGCAGCUGCCGCGCCCAAUCGUCGGACGCCCUCGCCCCCACCUCCCACCGCAGCGGCGGGGCAGCACACCGCAGUGGAGGCCGAGCACCCAUGGCGUCGCCCGAGCUCACCUCCUAGCCGCCGUUCCCCUUCCAAUUUGUGUGGAUCCGGCCGAAUCUGGAGGCCAGCGCCCCGUUCCGGACCUCCCCACCUUGCCUGGGUCGUCAGCCAUCGCGGCGCCGUCAUCUCACUCGCGUAAUCUAGGGCCACCGCUGCGUGGGCUCCUCUGCGCCUGGAGGAGACAACCCCACACCGUUGCCUCCCCACACUAGCAGCAGCAGCGAACGCGUCGGCAAGGUCGUCUCCGGCGGCGUCUUUAUUUUCUUGAAAUCAUUUUAAAGAAGUUUGCAGAUCUAUGGCCAGAAAAGCCAUGGCGAUGAACUCCGAUUGACUUCCCGUGAGCGCUGGGCGGCGCUUCAUGUGGUGGAUGCAGAUUAGUACAGCUCCGGACAGAGUAGUAGGCCAGAUCGGGAAAAAUAUGAUUUCAAGUUGUUUGCUGUGUAUUUCUUCCUUUUGAUAAAAAUAUGUUAUCUGUUUGGUA